rnacentral:rRNA from 1 species
UACGUAGGGUGCAAGCGUUGUCCGGAAUUAUUGGGCGUAAAGAGCUCGUAGGCGGUUUGUCGCGUCGAAUGUGAAAACCCGGGGCUCAACCCCGGGCCUGCAUUAGAUACGGGCAGACUAGAGUUCGGUAGGGGAGUCUGGAAUUCCUGGUGUAGCGGUGAAAUGCGCAGAUAUCAGGAGGAACACCGGUGGCGAAGGCGGGACUCUGGGCCGAUACUGACGCUGAGGAGCGAAAGCGUGGGGAGCAAACAGG